rnacentral:miRNA from 1 species
AUCAAAUAAGGACUAGUCUGCA